UCUUAUCGUGAGCAGUGGAGGGACAGGCCCUUUGAAGCUGCAGCAACCGGCUUAAGUUAAGCAGAUGGUGCUAAUUCCUGCUCCAGUUUUUAGGGGAGAGAUAAG
rnacentral:ncRNA from 1 species